CACGUGACACCUUUGAUUAUAAAAGGCCGCCACUUCUUUCUCCAGACAAACAGGUUCCAGCCAUCGACAGCUUCCACCACAACUUCCACUUUCAUCACUCGUCAGAGAUCCUCACAGCCAUGAAGUCGCUGGUGCUGAUCCUGGUGUUGGCCGCAGCAAGCAUGUCGGCUCAUGUUCCAGAAGAACGAGACUUGCUUGCCACCAAUUCCUUGCUUUCGGUGGUCGAUCCCCUUUUGGCGUUGGCUACCUCACUACUGCCAACCCUCCUGUCUGUCCUCAUCCCCAUUGUUGCUGCUCUCCUGAAUGUUGUCGCGUCCUUAGCAGGCAGUCUGCUGGGUACCGCUCUUGCUGUCGUCCAUGGCCUUCUGACUAUUGUUAUUAACAUCGUGUCCCAACUGGUCGACUGUGUGACAGCCGCCAUCAACAUACCCGUCGGCAACAUUGUGAAACCCAUCCUGGGUACAGUCACCAGCGCUGUCUCCUCCAUAAUAUCAAAUCUCACAGAGGCAUGCCUGUAGUAGCUACGAUGGACAACUCUCCUCUUCUUGGGGGCAACCCAGUUCCUGACUCGAUGGGACGACAGAACUUGGAGAAAUCCCAUGACGCAUUCAAACUACUCCAUCAGCUACAGGGAGGUGAUUGUGUCAGAGAAUAAUAAACAUGGCUAAAACUAUU